UCUAACCCAGGUCUCCCGUAUUGCAGGCAGAUUCUUUACCAGCUGACUACAAGGGAAGCCCAAGAAUACUGGAAUGGUAGCCUAUCCCUUCUCCAGUGGAUCGUCCUUACUCAAGAAUCAAAGUGGGUCUCCUGCAUUGCAGCACACUCAAGAAGAGGAAUAAGUGUAAAAGGGCCUUGAUACAAAGAUGCUGGAAUAAUGGUGGACGUCUUAGACUUCUGAGUACCACACUGCUUAACAGACACUUCAUGUACAGAUGUGAGAGUUGGAUCAUAAAGAAGGUUGAGUGCCAAAGAUUUGAUGCUUUUUAACUGUGAUGUUGGAGAAGACUCUUGAGAGUCCCUUGAACUGCAAGGAGAUCAAAGAAGUCAAUCCUAAAGGGAAUCAACCCUGAAUAUCCACUGGAAGGACUGAUGCUGAAGCUGAAGCUCCAAUACUUUCACCACCUCACGUGAAGAGCUGACUCUUUGGGAAAGACCCUGAUGCGGGGAAAGAUUAAAAGCA
ensembl:lncRNA